rnacentral:rRNA from 1 species
GCCGUCCUUGAAAUACCACCCUUGUAUGUUUGAUGUUCUAACUUAGACCCAUUAUCUGGGUUGAGGACAGUGCCUGGUGGGUAGUUUGACUGGGGCGGUCUCCUCCCAAAGAGUAACGGAGGAGCACGAAGGUGGGCUAAUCACGGUUGGACAUCGUGAGGUUAGUGCAAUGGCAUAAGCCCGCUUAACUGCGAGAAUGACGGUUCGAGCAGGUGCGAAAGCAGGUCAUAGUGAUCCGGUGGUUCUGUAUGGAAGGGCCAUCGCUCAACGGAUAAAAGGUACUCCGGGGAUAACAGGCUGAUACCGCCCAAGAGUUCAUAUCGACGGCGGUGUUUGGCACCUCGAUGUCGGCUCAUCACAUCCUGGGGCUGAAGUCGG